AUUGAACGCUGGCGGCAGGCCUAACACAUGCAAGUCGAGCGAGCGGCGGACGGGUGAGUAAUGUCUGGGUAACUUCCCGAUUGAGGGGGAUAACUACUGGAAACGGUAGCUAAUACCGCAUACCAUCAGAUUUGCCCAGAUGGGAUUGGCUAGUAGGUGGGGUAACGGCUAACCGAGGCGACGAUCCCUAGCUGGUCUGAGAGGAUGACCAGCAAACCUGGAACGGAGAACCGGUCCAGACGCCUACGGAGGGCAGCAGUGGGGAAUAUUGCACAAUGGGCGCAAGCCUGAUGCAGACAGGCCGCGUGUGGGAGGAAGGCCUUCGGGUUGUAAAGCACGUUCAGCGGGGAGGCGUUAACCGCAGAAGAAGCACCGGCUAACUCCGUGCCAGCAGCCGCGGUAAUUC
rnacentral:rRNA from 1 species